AUUGAACGCUGGCGGCAUGCCUUACACAUGCCAGUCGAACGGUAACGGGCCUUCGGGUGCCGACGAGUGGCGCACGGGUGAGUAAUACAUCGGAACGUGCCCGAUCGUGGGGGAUAACGAGGCGAAAGCUUUGCUAAUACCGCAUACGAUCUACGGAUGAAAGCGGGGGACCGCAAGGCCUUGCGCGGACGGAGCGGCCGAUGGCAGAUUAGGUAGUUGGUGGGAUAAAAGCUUACCAAGCCGACGAUCUGUAGCUGGUCUGAGAGGAUGAUCAGCCACACUGGGACUGAGACACGGCCCAGACUCCUACGGGAGGCAGCAGUGGGGAAUUUUGGACAAUGGGCGCAAGCCUGAUCCAGCCAUGCCGCGUGCAGGAUGAAGGCCUUCGGGUUGUAAACUGCUUUUGUACGGAACGAAAAGCCUUCUUUUAAUACAGGAGGGUCAUGACGGUACCGUAAGAAUAAGCACCGGCUAACUACGUG
rnacentral:rRNA from 1 species